rnacentral:rRNA from 1 species
UACGGGGGGGGGUAAGCGUUGUUCGGAAUUACUGGGCGUAAAGGGCUCGUAGGCGGCCAACUAAGUCAUACGUGAAAUCCCUCAGCUUAACUGGGGGAACUGCGUGUGAUACUGGAUGGCUUGGAUUUGGGAGAGGGAUGCGGAAUUCCAGGUGUAGCGGUGAAAUGCGUAGAUAUCUGGAGGAACACCGGUGGCGAAGGCGGCAUCCUGGACCGACACUGACGCUGAGGAGCGAAAGCCAGGGGAGCAAAGCAGG